UACAGAGGUCUCAAGCGUUGUUCGGAUUCAUUGGGCGUAAAGGGUGCGUAGGUGGCGUGGUAAGUCGGAUGUGAAAUCCCGGGGCUCAACCCCGGACUGCAUUCGAUACUGCCUUGCUAGAGUACUGGAGAGGAGAUUGGAAUUUACGGUGUAGCAGUGAAAUGCGUAGAUAUCGUAAGGAAGACCAGUGGCGAAGGCGGAUCUCUGGACAGUUACUGACACUGAGGCACGAAGGCCAGGGGAGCAAACGGG
rnacentral:rRNA from 1 species